AAGGUCGUGGCUUUCAUUUGAGAGCUGGGCUUCUGCUCCCCGCUGCACGGGGAACCUGUGCAGCGCUUAGAUUGGGCUGUCGAAAAAAAGCAGCAGCCCAGCCUAAGACCCCUUAGUGACCGCUAUAAAAAGGCAUAUCGGUGGUCACUAAGGGGUUAAA